rnacentral:lncRNA from 1 species
GGGACCCAGGCAUCCAGGACAAGAGGGGCCCAGGCAUCCAGGACAAGAAGGGCCCAGGCGUCCGGGACAAGAGGGACCCAGGCAUCCAGGACAAGAGGGACCCAGGCAUCCAGGACAAGAAGGGCCCAGGCGUCCGGGACAAGAGGGACCCAGGUGUCCGGGACAAGAAGGACCCAGGUGUCCGGGUCAAGAAGGGCCCAGGCAUCCGGGACAAGAGGGGCCCAGGCAUCCAGGACAAGAGGGGCCCAGGCGUCCGGGACAAGAAGGGCCCAGGCAUCCGGGACAAGAGGGACCCAGGCAUCCGGGACAGGAGGGGCCCAGGUGUCCGGGAAAAGGGCCCAGGCGUCCGGGGAAGGGCCCAGGCAUCUGGGAAAGGGGCCCAGGCGUCUGGGAAGGGGCCCAGGCGUCCGGGGAAGGGGCCCAGGUGUCCGUGGAAAGGGACCCAGGCGUCCGGGUGAAGGGGCCCAGGCGUCCGGGCAGCAGGGACCCAGGCGUCCUGUCCCGCAGGUCGGCACGUGGGCAGCUGCCCGCCGGUUCGGGGGUCUCCACGCCGGUUGGGCCUUGCUGGUGGCAGCUGCCGCCGCCUGCCUGAUCCGCGCCGGCUACUGGGGCUGCGUCCGCGUGAGCCACCCGCUGCCCGGCCCUGCCUGAACACGCUUGAACACGCCUCGUCACGCCUCGACACGGGUCCCGGCCCCCGGCACCGCCGCUGCCCCCCGCUGGAGUCCCGAGCUGCCUCCGCGGGAGCCGCUGCCGCCUCAACACGCUCCGACAUGCUUGCACACGCGUGUGUGGCCGCGCCGGGAUCCGGUGUGGCGGCACCACGCGUGUGCCGGAGACGGAGAGCGUCCAGACGCGUCAACACGCUUCAAGACGCUUCGAGGAGUUCCAAGAGGCCUCGACACGCUUCGACACGCUUUGAGACACCUCAACACGCUUCAAGACACAUCAACAUGCUUCAACACGCUCCAGGACACCUGAACAUGCUCCAACACGCUCCAACAUGCUUUGAGACAUCUCAGCAUACCUCAACAUGCUCCAACAUGCUCCAACAUGCUCCAAGACACCUGAACAUGCUCCAACAUGCUUUGAGGCAUUUCAACACAUCUCAGUGUGCUCCAACACGCUCCAACACGCUUCAGGACACCUGAACAUGCUCCAACACACUCCAACAUGCUCCAGGACACUCCAACACGCUCCAAGGCACCUGAACACACUCCAACAUGCUCCAACAUGCUCCAGGACACCUG